rnacentral:rRNA from 1 species
CCUACGGGGGGCUGCAGUCGAGAAUCUUCGGCAAUGGGCGCAAGCCUGACCGAGCGACGCCGCGUGCGGGAUGAAGGUCUUCGGAUUGUAAACCGCUGUCGGGAGGGAUGAAGUGUAUCGGGGCUAUCCCCGGUAUUUGACAGAGCUCCAGAGGAAGCACGGGCUAAGUUCGUGCCAGCAGCCGCGGUAAUACGAACUGUGCGAACGUUAUUCGGAAUCACUGGGCUUAAAGGGUGCGUAGGCGGUUUGUUAAGUCAGGUGUGAAAUCCCCCAGC